rnacentral:rRNA from 1 species
UUGAACGCUGGCGGCAUGCCUUACACAUGCAAGUCGAACGGUAACGCGGGGGCAACCCUGGCGACGAGUGGCGAACGGGUGAGUAAUACAUCGGAACGUACCCAGUAGUGGGGGAUAGCUCGGCGAAAGCCGGAUUAAUACCGCAUACGACCUAUGGGUGAAAGCGGGGGAUCGCAAGACCUCGCGCUAUUGGAGCGGCCGAUGUCGGAUUAGCUAGUUGGUGAGGUAAAGGCUCACCAAGGCUACGAUCCGUAGCUGGUCUGAGAGGACGACCAGCCACACUGGGACUGAGACACGGCCCAGACUCCUACGGGAGGCAGCAGUGGGGAAUUUUGGACAAUGGGCGAAAGCCUGAUCCAGCCAUGCCGCGUGUGUGAAGAAGGCCUCGGUUGUAAG